rnacentral:lncRNA from 1 species
UAUUACAACUACUGUCAAGAAGGAUGGAAAAACCCUUUCCAGCUUGAAAACGUGCUUUCUGGAAACAGUGCUGCAGAUUCUGGGAGGAUUAGUGAGUGGUCAUCUGUAGUAGGAGAGCAGUUAAUUUCGGAUGCUGUGUCAGAGAUUAGGGACAGUGGCAAAUGGUGUGCUGUGAUUGUGCAGUGGAACUAACCAUGCUGUGGAGACGUUCCCUAUGCAAGUUGUAUGAGGGCAGAUAAUGACACGCAAGUGACUGCAACCCGAGGCGGUUGCGUCUAAAGCCAAAGGGAAAUUCAGUCAGCUUCACUUAAUAGCUAAGGAAUGAGAGGCCGAGGGUGGCAUUCCAGGCAGAGGCCUUGGGAGUGCAACUGGAAAGGAGAAGGGGCUGCAUGGGGCGCGUGCGUGUGUGGUGGGUAUAUAGUGUGUGUGUGCACAGUGUGUGGAGUAUACAGUGUGAUGUGUGGUGUCGAGUGGUGUGUGUGUGGGGGGUGUAUAGUGUGGUCUGUGUGUGGUGUGUCGUGUAUACUGUGGUGUGUGUGGUGUGUGUGUGUGCAUGGUGUGUGGUUUAUGUGCAUUGUGUGGAAUAUAUUGUGUGUUGUGUGUGUGGUGUAUAGUGUGGUGUGUAUGGUAUAUGGAGUAUAGUGUGGUGUAUGCGGGUGUGGUGUAUAGUGUGUGUGGUGUGUAGUGUAUAGUGUGUGAUGUGUGUGGUGUGUGGAAUAUAGUGUGGUGUGUGUGUGUUUGUGUACAUGGUGUGUGAUGUACAGUGUGUUGUGUGGAGGAUAGAUGGUGUACAAUGUAUGUGGGUAUAUGUGUGUGGUGUAUGUAUGCUGUG